ensembl:lncRNA
GAUAACGUUACCUACCUACCCAUUCUGGAAAAUAAAGGCAUUUCAACAGGUCCAUGCGCAGAACACUACCACACAGUCCCUUCCUACGAAUGUGACCAAAGCUGACUUCACGAAUUCCUCGAUGCUCAACGUCAGUACCACGAACGUCAGUACCACGAACGUCAGUACCACGAACGUCAGUACCACGAACGUCAGUACCACGAACGUCAGUACCACGAACGUCAGUACCACGAACGUCAGUACCACGAAUGUCUCCAUUCCUCAAGGAGCCAGUGUGACCUUGCAGUCCAGUGCAUUCACGCUCCUCAUCCCUGUGGUGGGCUCGCUCCUACAGGGCUGCUUCUAGAGGGUUCAUCUGCACUGAACAAAAGCCAAGACUAACAUCGGCAGCCUAGAUGUGCAAAUGUUUUACAAAGAGCACAUUAAUUCUCGGAAGGUAGACAUUUGCGCACCUAAGCUGCGGGAUUCGGCGGCAUGGGCAAAAACACUACUUUGUGCUCGCACCUCCUGGCUGCUUCAAACCGUAGGCCUACACUCUGCUCACUGGCCCCAAGGCCAUGGCCUGGCAACAAGCUGUCUCACUGCAGAAUGGGACAUUUGUCCAUAUACCUUUUUGAGGUUUAGGCAUUAAUUCACAAAUGGGUAAGGUUUGGGAUAGGGUCAAGUCAUUUAAAGUGCCUAGCACUGGGAUUGAACACAUGACUAAUUAAUGGUAAUAGUGCUCACCGUUGCCCCUAGUGGCCAAUUUUGAAGUAAUCUCCUGACAUCCUGCUUACCUGGAAAGAUGUCUAAUUUUGCAGUGGUUCUUUAGUGACCUGGCUGUUGCCUCCAUGGAGGCAGGCCAUGAGGCUCUAUUAAACUCUAUUCUUUGACUCAAUAUUGUGUAAUUGCAGACUGCAAUUCAUGGGGUUUCUGGAUAUCAGGAGAAGCACAUUGGUGCCUGGUUUUCCUGGUAAAACACCCUGAAUUUGUCAGUUCUGGUGUUGAGACCGUUUCUUGACAUUUGUUUACAAGGCAGGUAAGGAUAGUUAACGUGGUCGGUAAGGAUAGUUAACGUGGUCGGUUAGGUGACUUUGUGUGCCAGGUUAGGAGAAUGAGGUAAAGUGUUAGCUUUAGAUACUGUUGUCCCCAACGUGAACUACAUGGCCACGGACCAGUGGUGCGCGUCAAAGUGCGUUUCUUAAUCAAGUUACGCCCCUACUCCUUUGCUUCACUUGGUCCCACUGUUCCUGAUUUCAGACAGCAGAGUUUAUCUUGUGUACAUUUUGGCUGUGCCUGGGGAAAUCAGCAACUGUUUGAGGUGCAUUGGAAAAUAACAGCCUAUAUUUGUCUGAUCUGUGGCACUUAUGUCCUUAACAGUGCUAUUCUUAAUCCUGCAACUGCAAUGGAUACUUUGUCAGAGGCUUGAUGUAGCCUACACUUGUGAUGAACUUAUUGCAUUUUAUAUUGUAAACAUGUGACUUAUGUAAGUCAGUGAUGCUUUUAGAUCUCUUUAUGUCAGGUUCAAUAAAGCUUUGAAAUGUGUUUGUCAUGAUUAAUAUUUAAUGUCCUUGUACAAUAAAAUAUGACAUUUAAUAUAACUAA